ACAACGUCAUGGGGCAAGAUUUCAUUUUAUGAUGACAGUCUGGUCAGAUGGCCCCAGGGCACCCAGAGAAUGCACCGGAAACCCAGGAGUUGGACAGCAGCUUCCCCCAGCACAGAGCCAAGCAGAGGCUGACUCUGACCUGAAGUCUGCGCCCCUUUCAGCACUCUGGGAGCUAUUACCACCUGUCCAUCAGCGGCAUCAAGGAGCCAGGAGUGAUGACCUGGACAGUUCAGACUGUGGGAAGAGGUCCGCGCUUUGAUGUGAGCCACAAGGAAGAAAAGCCAAGAAGGGAAGAAAGCUUAUAGGGCGUGUGAUCUGAGUGGAGUCUGGCUUUCCUCACUCACCAGGACCUGAAAAUGAGCAGAAAUUGGAUUUCAGUAUUUGGCAUCCCUUACCUGUUCAGAACGUUCUAAAUGUACUAGCUUGCCUAAGGCUCUCAAUAACAGCUGUGCAAGGAAUAUACUAUUUCAUUGAGGGGAAACACAAAGCCCAAGAGGGGCCAAAUGGUGUCUUAAAGCCACGUCUGUAUGCAGCAGAACCAGAUCCCAGCUUGUCACUGGCUAUGCAGAGCCCUGAGCAAACAUGGAGGUGUGUGGCCAGAGCAGGAAAGAGCAUCAUAUCUAUCAUGGCAACAAGCCAGUCAUGUCUCUAUGUCCAUACUGCUGCUAGCUGGCUGUGCCACAGUCUCUCUUGGCCUCAAGGUCCUUGUCCAUCAAACAGGAAGAUGAGACAGAGGCUAUGAUUUGUGUCUCUGGAUAAUGAAAUCCCUGAGGUCUCUUUUAUUUCCAAGACCAUAAGUUUGGUAGUUAAAAUUAUUUAUUUAGGAGAAGGAAUAACACCUUCAGCUAUUUGCCUGGAGUUCAUAAUUCCAGCAUCUCAGAGAACAGAACUGAACUUGAUAUUCAAACUCAGCUUAGAAUCCUGACUGCUUGUAUGUUUGGUUUCUAAGGUGGGCCCCACAUACAAGGUCCUGGCCAUUCUAGGCCAUUACUGGAUGCCCCUCCAUUUGCAGCACUGUGGAUGACACUCAGGGUUGUUACAACAAAAUGUCAUAGCAUGUGAUGUGUGCCAUAUCUGUGAGAUCUCAUUAAAG
rnacentral:lncRNA from 1 species